CCUACGUGAGGCAGCAGUGGGGAAUAUUGCGCAAUGGGCGAAAGCCUGACGCAGCGACGCCGCGUGAGGGAUGAAGGUCUUCGGAUCGUAAACCUCUGUCAGCAGGGAAGAACGGUCACUGUGCUAAUCAGCAGUGAAUUGACGGUACCUGCAAAGGAAGCACCGGCUAACUCCGUGCCAGCAGCCGCGGUAAUCCGGAGGGUGCGAGCGUUAAUCGGAAUUACUGGGCGUAAAGCGCUCGUAGGCGGUAUGUCAAGUCAAGGGUGAAAUCCCCGCGCUCAACGUGGGAACUGCCUUUGAAACUGGCAAACUGGAGUGUGUGAGAGGAGAGUGGAAUUCCAGGUGUAGGAGUGAAAUCCGUAGAUAUCUGGAGGAACAUCAGUGGCGAAGGCGACUAUCUGGCACAUAACUGACGCUGAGGAGCGAAAGCGUGGGUAGCAAACAGGAUUAGAUACCCCAGUAGUC
rnacentral:rRNA from 1 species